CCUGGGUUGUUCUUCAAGAAGGAGUGCUGUUUAGCCAGAGAGCUCUUUAACCACUUGGUUAUGUUUUAUAGGAUGUGAUGGAGGAAUGACUACUUCAAGAAGAGCUGGAUCCACAAGCCUGGAAUAACAGUAAUAGCCUAUUUGGUUGGCUACCAUCUCAGAAAGAUGCAUUCUGAUAUGAGCAGAAAUUACAAAGAUAGGGGCAGGAUGGAGUAAGAGCUGUAAUCAGGAGAUGGAGGAGAUUGAACAUUUAACUCCCAGAUGGGGGCAGCAUUGCUUUAAAAUGAAAAAACAAGACCCAGGAAGUCCUGAACUGGUAAUUAAACUGCUCACUCUGAGGGAAGUAGAUAGACUCCCAAAUCAGACUAAUAAAUCUGUGGGUUAAUAACACGUUAGUCAGAUCAGCAUGCCCCGCAAUCACUGCUGUUGAUCCAUUUGUCUGUUUAUACAAAGUGAAUUGAUUUUAACCAAGGAAUCAUCAAAGAGAAAACUUGUAAGGAGGAAAAAAAAAAAAAAAAGAAAAAAUAAGCAACCAACAAUGUUUACUUCUUCUUUAGUUCUAAUGGAUAAUUUGUCCUUAAAAUUACACUUUUAUUAAUUUUUUGUCAGGUUUAACUCUUUGAAUUGUGAUUUAAAAUACUCUUGAAAUGUCAGCGUUGUGUUUUCCCCAUAUUUCUUAUUACCACUAAUUCGUUAUGUAAUUAAUUUUAAGAACAAGACUGGUGCUGUAGAGAAUGGAGGUGACUGAGUUUACUGCCGAGAGCUUGUUAAUGCAUAGGCUUCUGGGCUUUUGGUGUGGCUGUACAUUUUUGUUUUCCAUAGCAAGAAAGGAAUUCCUACUCCAUCAGUCAGGUGUUUAUACAUACUCACCUCCUGUGUCUCAGAGGGUCACUGUAGCAGAUAGAAAGUCAUCUUUAUAAAGUCUGGAAAACACAGGAAACAGAAAAUGGUAGUUGGCUCAAGAAAGGAAAAAUUAAAUGGG
rnacentral:lncRNA from 1 species